AACGAACGCUGGCGGCAGGCUUAACACAUGCAAGUCGAGCGCCCCGCAAGGGGAGCGGCAGACGGGUGAGUAACGCGUGGGAACGUACCUUUUGGUUCGGAACAACUCCGGGAAACUGGAGCUAAUACCGGAUAAGCCCUAACGGGGAAAGAUUUAUCGCCGAAAGAUCGGCCCGCGUCUGAUUAGCUAGUUGGUGAGGUAACGGCUCACCAAGGCGACGAUCAGUAGCUGGUCUGAGAGGAUGAUCAGCCACACUGGGACUGAGACACGGCCCAGACUCCUACGGGAGGCAGCAGUGGGGAAUAUUGGACAAUGGGCGCAAGCCUGAUCCAGCCAUGCCGCGUGAGUGAUGAAGACCUUAGGGUUGUAAAGCUCUUUUGUCCGGGAAGAUAAUGACUGUACCGGAAGAAUAAGCCCCGGCUAACUUCGUG
rnacentral:rRNA from 1 species